rnacentral:miRNA from 1 species
UCGGGGAUCGCGGAUGCGGAGAGC